CAGCCCAGCCCAAGCUGGGAGAUGGACCAGCCAUGUGUAGAAGACCCCGGGGACCACACAGUGGGCAACAGCGGGCUUCCCCAGAGCAGCCUCCCAGCAUUUUCAGGAUCAUGGAGUGAGGUUGAAAGAAAUGUAACAAACUGAGAAAUAGGACAUGAAAGAGGACGAUUCAGUAACUAAUCAUCAGCUGAGUGUCUUCAUUUCAGUACAUUUGGGGCUCAAAGAAGAUGCAAGAUUUGGAAACUACAAGUUCCAAGAUGCUGACAACUGUAAAGGGAAUCAAGGAGACUCUUAAGAAGCUGAUAACUGGAACAACUGCUGUUUUGUUUCUUAAUUUGUUUUAGGGGAUUAAGAUGUGAUCCUUGUUCAGACUCAGACCACAACUCGUGGUAGUUGGUAUGUGUCAAAGGGAGUUUAUCUGAACAAGACCUGAAGCAUUCCAAGGGAAAAUACCUUGAUCUGGGACUAUGUAACAUUAGCCAACUGUUUUUACGUUUAACUUGGCAAAGCAUUAAUGUUCAAUCUGAUGUGUAUAUACAGGGGUGACAGUCCUUGUGAUAUUUGCUCUUUUGCAUAUGUAAAAAAUAAAAUAAAGAAAAAAAACGCAAUAGGAUAUAUGUAUGCUUGGAGAAGAUCCUAAAUUUAGGAGAAAUAGGUGGCAAAUUGGUGACAGCAGUUAUACUAUCCUUACAGCACAGAUUUCACAAAUCACAUUUCAUGUUCACUUUUCUAAAGAAAAAUGCUGCCACCUGAAAAGAAAUAGGUGAAGAAUAAAUGAUCCAUUUUUUAACUACAGAUAUGACACUGCAUAGUGUA